rnacentral:rRNA from 1 species
GAUGAACGCUAGCGGCAGGCUUAACACAUGCAAGUCGAGGGGCAGCAUAAAUAGUAGCAAUACUAUUGGUGGCGACCGGCGGACGGGUGCGUAACGCGUAUACAACCUUCCCUAAACAGGGGGAUAAUCUGGAGAAAUUCGGUCUAAUACCCCAUAACAUCAGAGCAGGCAUCUGUUUUGGUUAAAAUUUCCGGAGGUUUAGGAUGGGUAUGCGUAGCAUUAGCUAAUUGGUGAGGUAACGGCUCACCUAGGCGACGAUGCUUAGGGGGACUGAGAGGUUAACCCCCCACACGGGUACUGGGACACGGACCAGACUCCUACGGGAGGCAGCAGUGAGGAAUAUUGGUCAAUGGGCGGAAGCCUGAACCAGCCAUGCCGCGUGCAGGAUGACGGCUCUAUGAGUUGUAAACUGCUUUUGUACGAGGGUAAAGUGGGCUACGUGUAGCCUUUUGAAAGUAUCGUACGAAUAAGGAUCGGCUAACUCCGUGCCAGCCGCCGCCGUAA